GACGAACGCUGGCGGCGUGCUUAACACAUGCAAGUCGAACGGUGAAGCUCCAGCUUGCUGGAGUGGAUCAGUGGCGAACGGGUGAGUAACACGUGAGCAACCUGCCCCUGACUCUGGAAUAAGCGCUGGAAACGGCGUCUAAUACUGGAUACGAGAAGGGUCCGCAUGGGCACUUUCUGGAAAGUUUUUCGGUUGGGGAUGGGCUCGCGGCCUAUCAGCUUGUUGGUGAGGUAAUGGCUCACCAAGGCGACGACGGGUAGCCGGCCUGAGAGGGCGACCGGCCACACUGGGACUGAGACACGGCCCAGACUCCUACGGGAGGCAGCAGUGGGGAAUAUUGCACAAUGGGCGAAAGCCUGAUGCAGCGACGCCGCGUGAGGGAUGACGGCCUUCGGGUUGUAAACCUCUUUAAGCAGGGAAGAAGCGAAAGUGACGGUACCUGCAGAAGAAGCACCGGCUAACUACGUG
rnacentral:rRNA from 1 species